UACACUCCUGCGGGAGGCAGCAGUGGGGAAUAUUGGACAAUGGGCGCAAGCCUGAUCCAGCCAUGCCGCGUGAGUGAUGAAGGCCCUAGGGUUGUAAAGCUCUUUCACCGGUGAAGAUAAUGACGGUAACCGGAGAAGAAGCCCCGGCUAACUUCGUGCCAGCAGCCGCGGUAAUACGAAGGGGGCUAGCGUUGUUCGGAUUUACUGGGCGUAAAGCGCACGUAGGCGGACUAUUAAGUCAGGGGUGAAAUCCCGGGGCUCAACCCCGGAACUGCCUUUGAUACUGGUAGUCUUGAGUUCGAGAGAGGUGAGUGGAAUUCCGAGUGUAGAGGUGAAAUUCGUAGAUAUUCGGAGGAACACCAGUGGCGAAGGCGGCUCACUGGCUCGAUACUGACGCUGAGGUGCGAAAGCGUGGGGAGCAAACAGGAUUAGAAACCCGAGUAGUCCCAUG
rnacentral:rRNA from 1 species